rnacentral:tRNA from 1 species
GCCGAUGUAGCUCAACGGAAGAGCAGCUGAUCUGUAAUCAGCUGGUUGGGGGUUCGAAUCCCUUCAUCGGCU